AGAGUUUGAUCAUGGCUCAGAACGAACGCUGGCGGCGUGCCUAACACAUGCAAGUCGAACGUGAUUGAGGAGCUUGCUCUUCAUGAAAGUGGCGCACGGGUGAGUAACGCGUAGAUAAUCUGCCUGGUGAUCCGGGAUGACACUUCGAAAGGGGUGCUAAUACCUGAUAAGCCCACGGGGUCUUUGGACUCUGCGGGAAAAGGGGGGGACCUUAGGGCCUUCUGUCACCAGAUGAGUCUGCGUACCAUUAGCUAGUUGGUAGGGUAAAGGCCUACCAAGGCUACGAUGGUUAGCUGGUCUGAGAGGAUGAUCAGCCACACUGGAACUGAGACACGGUCCAGACUCCUACGGGAGGCAGCAGUGGGGAAUUUUGCGCAAUGGGGGAAACCCUGACGCAGCAACGCCGCGUGAGUGAUGAAGGCCCUUGGGUCGUAAAGCUCUGACAGAGGGAAAGAAAUGUGGGUGGCUAAUAUCCAUACCACUUGACGGUACCCUCAAAGGAAGCACCGGCUAACUCCGUGCCAGCAGCCGCGGUAAUACGGGGGGUGCAAGCGUUGUUCGGAUUUAUUGGGCGUAAAGCGCGUGUAGGCGGUUUUGUAAGUCUGAUGUGAAAGCCCUGGGCUCAACCUGGGAAGUGCAUUGGAUACUGUAAGACUUGAAUACGGGAGAGGGGAGUGGAAUUCCUGGUGUAGGAGUGAAAUCCGUAGAUAUCAGGAGGAACACCGGUGGCGAAGGCGGCUCCCUGGACCGAUAUUGACGCUGAGACGCGAAAGCGUGGGUAGCAAACAGGAUUAGAUACCCUGGUAGUCCACGCCGUAAACGAUGAGAACUAGGUGUUGCGGGUAUUGACCCCUGCAGUGCCGCAGCUAACGCAUUAAGUUCUCCGCCUGGGAAGUACGGUCGCAGACUAAAACUCAAAGGAAUUG
rnacentral:rRNA from 1 species